GCUGGGCGCAGUGGUGCAUGCUUGUAAUCCCAGCAGCUUGGGAGGCUGAGGCAGGAGGAUCGCAAGUUCAAAGCCAGCCUCAGCAAAAGUGAGGUGCUAAGCAACUCAGCAAGACCCUGUCUCUA
rnacentral:sRNA from 1 species